CGCAGCAGUCUCCAAGGUGACAGCCUCUAGUCGAUGGACCAAUGUAGGUAAGGGAAGUCGGCAAAACGGAUCCGUAACCUUGGGAUAAGGAUUGGCUCUGAGGACUGAGCCGGUCGGGCUGGGGACCUGAAGCAGGAACGGCACUGCACCGGGACUGGGCGGGGCUCGCCGUUCACGCGGCGCGGCCAAGCCCGGACCAGCGUCGGGACCUUCCUGUGGAAAGCCUUAACUGCGCGGCGUCUGAGGGCUUCGUGCCCAAAGUGCUAUGCUUCGGCCGGCAAAAAACAGUCAACUCAGAACUGGCACGGACCGGGGGAAUCCGACUGUCUAAUUAAAACAAAGCAUUGCGAUGGCCGCUGGUCGGUGUUGACGCAAUGUGAUUUCUGCCCAGUGCUCUGAAUGUCAACGUGAAGAGAUUCAUCAAAGCGCGGGUAAACGGCGGGAGUAACUAUGACUCUCUUGUUCGGCUGUGCAUGCUAGGACUGGAGGUGUACCGGGGGUUGGGCCCGAUCAGUCCGGCACCUACCUUGUCCCGUCAGUCAUGCUCAGUCAUGGCUUCGGUCACAUGACAUCCGCAGAGGCAAUGGCCAGUGGACGGAGAGAGACUCGGAGCAUGGCGAAGGCACGGGUGGCAGGCAUUGCCGGAAGUGUCGAUGAGAGCCGGAAACGAGUGCCUCCCUCCGGUCCAUCUGGCAAAGGCAAAGGUGAGGGGAACACCUUGCGACCGCAAAAAACCCCGUUGCUACGGGUGGUCGAGGAGCAUAGAGAACCCCUUGGUCGGCCCACUCCGAGUGUUGAACACUCGGGCGGUAGGGCCUGCAGGCGAUCGAGCCAGCUGGGUCCAUCAACCCCAGGUGGAGGUUCAUCGCCUGUGUACGGAGAUUCUGACGAGGGAGAGGCUGCGGGACUGAUAACCCCAAGGCUCCUCUGCUCCGACGAUGAUCCGGGCCAUGUGAGGCAAUCUCAAGCUCCUCCUAGAAGCGGCAGUAGCCAGAGUAGUCCCAUGCUCUCGGUGGGUGAUGACACCGGGAGCCCAAUGUGUGAUGAAGGUACAGGAGAUGGCAUCGCGGGUUCCUCGAACGUUUCCGAGGAUAGCCGCACU
rnacentral:ncRNA from 1 species